UUUAUACUUCCUUUAUCCAACAAAGGAUGUCUCAACUUUGACAAAAUUUGAAUGCAUCUAUAUACUAAAUCAUGUCUAGAUACAUCCAGAUUUUAACAAAUUUCAGACAUCUUUUGUUGGACGGAGGGAUCACGAA
rfam:Brachypodium distachyon strain Bd21 chromosome 2, whole genome shotgun sequence.